rnacentral:rRNA from 1 species
UGAGUAACACGUAUCCAACCUGCCGUCAACUCUUGGCCAGCCUUCUGAAAGGAAGAUUAAUCCAGGAUGGCAUCAUGAGUUCACAUGUCCGCAUGAUUAAAGGUAUUUUCCGGUAGACGAUGGGGAUGCGUUCCAUUAGAUAGUAGGCGGGGUAACGGCCCACCUAGUCAACGAUGGAUAGGGGUUCUGAGAGGAAGGUCCCCCACAUUGGAACUGAGACACGGUCCAA